GGGGCCAUAGCUCAGCUGGGAGAGCGUCGCGCUUGCAUCGCGAAGGUCGCCGGUUCGAGUCCGGCUGGCUCCA
rnacentral:tRNA from 1 species